UCAGUUUUUAAUGUUGAUAAAAGCGAACUGGCACUUUAAAAAAAAUUGACCAGGAAGUUGGGAGGUCUAUGGCUGGAGCUGGGCUUCCUGUUACUCUCUAGUCCCGACUUCCUAUUAAACUUUAUGGUUCUAACUUCCUGUGGCAGAUGUAUAUAAGGGAGCCAUCUUGAGAGAUAGCUCUUUUUUGCACAUGGACAGCCUUCUGGAAGCAGGAGAACAGCAUGUCCUGAAGAUGUCUGCUUCCUCAGUCUGGGUCUCAGAAUGAGAGAGCAUGUGAAGCAGAACCACAGUCCAGAAUGGGAAGAGUCUGGAGCUGCCCAGUCUACCCACAGCCAGGAGCAGAGUUGCAAAACCACAGACACCCAGCUGACUUGCAGCUGGGAGUAAAUAUUUGUUGUUGCAAGUCUAACCUAGUGAAAGCUGACCAGUGCUCUCUUUGAAUGGCAACAUCCAAUACUCUGAGCAAAUCAGGCCCUGACUUGUUUAGUAACCCAGCCUUGUUUACAAAUAAAACUGUUCCCAAAUUAAA